UAAAGUGGCUUUAAUAGAUAUACUAUUUAUGCGCUCAAGAACCACAUAAUGGACUUACAUGCGUUCUCGCCUAUAUAUCAAUGUUAAAGUUUUUGAAACGCUGACAGAAGAAUUUCCGUUCGCUAAAUGCAUGCUACAGCUGAGUAUGUUUCUUUGUAAAUUUUUGUUUUAUUUCUGCACCACGAUCACCUAUAAAAGAAACGAACUGUUUCUCUGUCCUCCCUCUUUUCCCCACCGAUUUGCUAUAUACUGCUCUAUUUGCUCUAAGAGGGUAAUUGUUUUUGACAAAAAGAAAAAUGAAUAACAAUAUGCGAGGGAAAAUGUCGCUUAAACCAUAUUCUUUUACUUUUCUAUGCUGAUUCUUGCAAACAAACAAACAAACUACACUCCGUAGAGAUAGUCGCCUGAAAUUUUGUGUGGUUGAUGUUAGAGCGCUUUUAACUUAUGCAAAUGCUUAGGCCGUUGGGAUCCACGCUUGCGCCACGACAAACUGGCGCGAAAACGCAAUGCCGGUUGAAAUGCUAUAAAACGUGAUUCAUAUAAAUGAUGAAACCAAUACGGAGUUUGAGUUGGGAUUCCUUUCAAAAUACUUAUUAUUCAACAUAAAUUUCUUUCACCUGGAUCAUCAAGCCAUCGAAGAAAAAAUUAGGGUAUUCAUAGGGUGUCGCGGUAUGACACGUCAUAUCUUCUUAUUUUUUAUGACUCUCAUGUAAGGAAUUUUGUUGUUUCCCAUGUAAAAUUGGAAUAAGACAAAUACAAGAUAUGGAGGUAUAUUUUUCGAUAGUGCUAUUCUGUAAGCGGCGCCGGUAGCCGAGUGGUUAGCAUUGCGUACUCCCAUUCGGAAGACCCGGGUUCAAGUUCUGGUACGACAAACAUCCAAAAGUUGUAGAAAAUUAAUUAAAAAAAAAAAAAAAAUAACUUAAAUUUUUUAACUGCGAAU